rnacentral:rRNA from 1 species
AUUGAACGCUGGCGGCAGGCCUAACACAUGCAAGUCGAGCGGAUGAAGGGAGCUUGCUCCUGGAUUCAGCGGCGGACGGGUGAGUAAUGCCUAGGAAUCUGCCUGGUAGUGGGGGAUAACGUCCGGAAACGGGCGCUAAUACCGCAUACGUCCUGAGGGAGAAAGUGGGGGAUCUUCGGACCUCACGCUGUCAGAUGAGCCUAGGUCGGAUUAGCUAGUUGGUGGGGUAAAGGCCUACCAAGGCGACGAUCCGUAACUGGUCUGAGAGGAUGAUCAGCCACACUGGAACUGAGACACGGUCCAGACUCCUACGGGAGGCAGCAGUGGGGAAUAUUGGACAAUGGGCGAAAGCCUGAUCCAGCCAUGCCGCGUGUGUGAAGAAGGUCUUCGGAUUGUAAAGCACUUUAAGUUGGGAGGAAGGGCAGUAAGUUAAUACCUUGCUGUUUUGACGUUACCAACAGAAUAAGCACCGGCUAACUUCGUG